rnacentral:rRNA from 1 species
GAUGAACGCUGGCGGCGUGCCUAAUACAUGCAAGUCGAGCGAACAGACGAGGAGCUUGCUCCUCUGACGUUAGCGGCGGACGGGUGAGUAACACGUGGAUAACCUACCUAUAAGACUGGGAUAACUUCGGGAAACCGGAGCUAAUACCGGAUAAUAUAUUGAACCGCAUGGUUCAAUAGUGAAAGACGGUUUUGCUGUCACUUAUAGAUGGAUCCGCGCCGCAUUAGCUAGUUGGUAAGGUAACGGCUUACCAAGGCGACGAUGCGUAGCCGACCUGAGAGGGUGAUCGGCCACACUGGAACUGAGACACGGUCCAGACUCCUACGGGAGGCAGCAGUAGGGAAUCUUCCGCAAAGGGCGAAAGCCUGACGGAGCAACGCCGCGUGAGUGAUGAAGGUCUUCGGAUCGUAAAACUCUGUUAUUAGGGAAGAACAAAUGUGUAAGUAACUAUGCACGUAUUGACGGUACCUAAUCAGAAAGCCACGGCUAACUACGUG